AGUUUUCCAUCAAACUUGAGGCCUCGAUUCUCUCACUUUCAAAAAUGAAGAAAUUAAUUUAGAUUAUUUCAAUGCAGCACUGUCCAUUAGAAAUAGAAUAUGAGACACAUAUAAUUUAAACUUUUCUAGUAGUCACAUUUAAAAAGGAAAAAGAGACAGGCGAAAUGAAUUUUAAUAAACUUUUAUUUAACUCAACUCAAAAUAUUUCAACAUGCAAUCUUCAUAUUAAUAAGACUUUUUUGGCACUCAAACCCCUCAGGAUGAACCGGAGCUGACUUUCCUGCCUUAGCCGCCUCUUUUCCCCUCCUCUGGACCCGGGUCCACACUGUCAUUCCAUAGAGGCGUUGCUCUUUUCCAGCUCUGCAUCUUUAGCAGAACCUCCUGUCCUCUUCCUUCUCCC
rnacentral:lncRNA from 1 species